rnacentral:rRNA from 1 species
GUGCCGUUCAAAUAGGGCGGCACCUUGACGGUACCUAACCAGAAAGCCACGGCUAACUACGUGCCAGCAGCCGCGGUAAUACGUAGGUGGCAAGCGUUGUCCGGAAUUAUUGGGCGUAAAGGGCUCGCAGGCGGUUUCUUAAGUCUGAUGUGAAAGCCCCCGGCUCAACCGGGGAGGGUCAUUGGAAACUGGGGAACUUGAGUGCAGAAGAGGAGAGUGGAAUUCCACGUGUAGCGGUGAAAUGCGUAGAGAUGUGGAGGAACACCAGUGGCGAAGGCGACUCUCUGGUCUGUAACUGACGCUGAGGAGCGAAAGCGUGGGGAGCGAACAGGAUUAGAUACCCUGGUAGUCCACGCCGUAAACGAUGAGUGCUAAGUGUUAGGGGGUUUCCGCCCCUUAGUGCUGCAGCUAACGCAUUAAGCACUCCGCCUGGGGAGUACGGUCGCAAGACUGAAACUCAAAGGAAUUGACGGGGGCCCGCACAAGCGGUGGAGCAUGUGGUUUAAUU